UCGAAAAAACGCUUCAGUACCCUGGCUGCUCGAGUGUCAUGGAAAAAACCUUAUUUUCCUGGACUAUAACCCACUCAGACGACAUGGCAAGUGACGAUUAUUUGCCAAGCCAAGUACACGACUCGUGUGAGCCAGGCUAUAGAAUAUUUAUAUUCUAAAGGUUGGUGCAUGUGAUUUGACUUUUGACUUAUCUGGACUUAUCGCUGAUGUCACGUCAGUUGUUACCAUGUUGUUACUUAUCAUGCCCAUAGAGGUAUAUAUUAACAUAGAGGGAGCCUACCUUCCGCGCUUCCUGACGACAAGAUCUCAUGGACUGGUUUGCUGCAUCUCUUUCUAACACAUUGUAUCGAAAAUCUAUGAUGACAUUAAGUGUGAAUAUAGGCACGGAAGAGGAGGACAACUGUAGCAGCUUUACUAUGCGUAAGAGUGAAACAGCACUAAUCCAAAUAAAAAAGAUGGUGUCGUCACUUCGCUCUGAAUGACACUCUCUCUAUGCUAAUAUAUAACUCUAUGAUCAUGCCCCGCUAACUCUAAUAAAAAAACAUGUAAUCGUAUUUAUUUUCCUUCCGUUUAGUCAGAGGCGCUGAUGUCGGCAUUGUGAUUGGUGGAACAUGACUUUUGACAAAUCGUGCGCUAUCUGUGAAUCUGUAAUCUGUGUUCGUGUUCGUUCGUUCGUUGUCGUUCACUUAUGACUUAUUUUAUAUCAUGCCCCGCUAACUCUAAUAAAAAACAUGUAAUCGUAUUUAUUUUCCUUCCGUUUAGUCAGAGGCGCUGAUGUCGGCAUUGUGAUUGGUGGAACAUGACUUUUGACAAAUCCUGCGCUAUCUGUGAAUCUGUAAUUUGUGUUCGUGUUCGUUCGUUCGUUGUCGUUCACUUAUUUUAUAAGGUCGGUUAUAAAAUGUGUUUGGUGAUUCUUUCGGUGGCAGUGAAAGGUGACGGAUGUGAUUCGCAUCAGGAGGCAAAUUUGAAACCUGUGUGUUACACUUUUGAGUGUAAGUGUAAGAAAUUCUAUGGACAUUUGAGUGUAAAAUGACAGCGGAUGUGACAGCGGCUCAUGACAGCGGACAGUAUUAAACGAAAAUUAUCGCUGUGCCAAUCAAGCAAAGGGACAAGGAACUUCCGAAUAUGGCCUAACUGGGGGCACAUAACAUAACAUAACCUAAUCCUAAUAUUUACAUUUGUAAAGAAUAUCCUGUUUGUUUUUAUUGUCGAUUGUGCAGCCAAUCAAAUAUAAAGUAGUUUAUCGCCUACAGAACUGAAUUAGUCCAUAGCAGUUAUCAGUUUUUCUUUCUUGGGAAGCUUAUACAUGUAACUUGUAUUGUAAAUUGUGGGAGUAGGGCAGACAGGGAAAAGUCUUAUUUUGUACUGUUCCCAAGGCUCCCCAUGCAAUACAUUUAAAUGAAUUAUCCAAACAAAGCUGGGGACAAUGGAUAAAAGCCACAAGAAGAAGAGAUAUAAGGGAACUAAAAUUAAAAUAUGAAAAGUAAACAUUUUAUAAGUGGAACAACCACCAGAUAUUUAAAAGGUAUAAAAAGAAGAAACUGCUGGAAUUUCAAAACAAAUGUGUUUGACUAGUAAAGAUUUGGAUAAAUAACAGGAGUUACUUUGGGCUAUAGCUAAGUGCAGAUUUAUUUCCUUGUGGCUUCCUAUGUUAAUUCUUAUUAAUUAUACACUUAAAUAUGUUUUUAGUCUCAGGAAGAUUUUAUAUUUGAUUAUUUUUGAAUAAACAUUAUUAUUAUUACCUUAAUUUCCAUUAAAUAAAUUAACUGUAAUCAAUAAAGUAAUCGUUUAAUUGUUAAUAAAUUAUCAAGUAUGA
rnacentral:lncRNA from 1 species